GCCUGGGUUUCACUGUGUGUUUGUGGGUGAUUGUUUCCUGUCUCUGUGUGUGCACCAGAUAGGACUGUAAUUUGAGUUUUCACAUUUUUUGUUUUGUUAGUUUGUUCAUGUGUACCUGAUAGCAUUAAAAAGUACCAUGGAAAAUUA